AAUAUUUGGCAUUUUGAUAAUUAUUUGCAUGUAACAUCUGUGUUCAAUCAGACAUAACGAGGGGUUUUUUGACAGUUGUGACAUCCAUGUGGAGUGACGUGUUUUUCGACCGUUAACAAAAAAAUUAAAAUUAAAAAACUAAUUGGAGGAUGUAAUUUAAUAAUCACAAAUAUGUAUUGAUGCGACUAUAUACAUGAAAAUACAAGAGGUUGGAGAACAAAAUGUAAAUUUAAAGAGCAAUAACUA